rnacentral:misc_RNA from 1 species
ACGACAAGAACUAAACAUAUCUGUAAAAUGGCCAACGGAAGUGCAAAAUCCAGGGGAUUAUCACCCUGAAAAAUGCCGUUAGACGUAGCCUUCAUUGGAGAUGGACAAUGCUGAUCCAUAGUUUUACUGUAUGCCUCUCCAAACUAGUCCUGUAAACACAAUACUUGUAACGCGAGAUUUGCGAACUAAUAAAAAAAAUCAAACACCAAAAUAA